rnacentral:ncRNA from 1 species
GGGCGCACGGUGGAUGCCUUGGCACCAGGAACCGAUGAAGGACGUGGGAGGCCGCGAUAGGCCCCGGGGAGUUGUCAACCGAGCUGUGAUCCGGGGGUGUCCGAAUGGGGAAACCCGGCAGUCGUCAUGGGCUGUCACCCGCAUCUGAAUGUAUAGGGUGUGUGGAGGGAACGCGGGGAAGUGAAACAUCUCAGUACCCGCAGGAAGAGAAAACAACUGUGAUUCCGGGAGUAGUGGCGAGCGAAACCGGAUGAGGCUAAACCGUAUGUGUGUGAGACCCGGCAGGGGUUGCAUGUACGGGGUUGUGGGACGGGACUUCGGUCGUCUGCCGGCGGCUGGGUGAGUUAGAAACCAUUGCGAUAGGCGAAGGGCAUGCGAAAGGCCCGGCGUAGAGGGUAAGACCCCCGUAGCUGAAAUUGUGGUGGCUCACUUGUUCUGUUUCCCGAGUAGCAUGGGGCCCGUGAAAUCCUGUGUGAAUCUGGCGGGACCACCCGUCAAGCCUAAAUAUUCCCUGGUGACCGAUAGCGGAUAGUACCGUGAGGGAAUGGUGAAAAGUACCGCGGGAGCGGAGUGAAAGAGUACCUGAAACCGUGUGCCUACAAGCCGUGGGAGCGUCGCGUGCCAAGCUUGCUUGGUGCGUCGUGACUGCGUGCCUUUUGAAGAAUGAGCCUGCGAGUUUGCGGCAUGUUGCGAGGUUAACCCGUGUGGGGGAGCCGUAGCGAAAGCGAGUCCGAAGAGGGCGUGGAGUAGCGUGUUCAAGACCCGAAGCGGAGUGAUCUAGCCAUGGGCAGGGUGAAGCGGAGGUAAGACUUCGUGGAGGCCCGAACCCACCAGGGUUGAAAACCUGGGGGAUGACCUGUGGUUAGGGGUGAAAGGCCAAUCAAACUCCGUGAUAGCUGGUUCUCCCCGAAAUGCAUUUAGGUGCAGCGUCGUGUGUUUCUUGCCGGAGGUAGAGCACUGGAUAGGCGAUGGGCCCUACCGGGUUACUGACCUUAGCCAAACUCCGAAUGCCGGUAAGUGAGAGCGCGGCAGUGAGACUGUGGGGGAUAAGCUCCAUGGUCGAGAGGGAAACAGCCCAGAGCAUCGACUAAGGCCCCUAAGCGUGUGCUAAGUGGGAAAGGAUGUGGAGUCGCAGAGACAACCAGGAGGUUGGCUUAGAAGCAGCCAUCCUUGAAAGAGUGCGUAAUAGCUCACUGGUCAAGUGAUUCCGCGCCGACAAUGUAGCGGGGCUCAAGCACACCGCCGACGUCGUGUCACUCCAAUGUGAGGGCUAACGCCUAUUGGGGUGGGUAGGGGAGCGUCGUGUGCCGGGUGAAGCAGCCGUGGAAGCGAGUUGUGGACGGUAUGCGAGUGAGAAUGCAGGCAUGAGUAGCGAUACAUACGUGAGAAACGUGUG